CCUACGGGUGGCUGCAGUGGGGAAUAUUGCACAAUGGGGGAAACCCUGAUGCAGCGACGCCGCGUGAGUGAAGAAGUAAUUCGUUAUGUAAAGCUCUAUCAGCAGGGAAGAAAAUGACGGUACCUGAGUAAGAAGCCCCGGCUAACUACGUGCCAGCAGCCGCGGUAAUACGGAGGGGGCCAGCGUUAUCCGGAUUUACUGGGUGUAAAGGGAGCGUAGACGGUGCAGCAAGUCUGAUGUGAAAGGUCGGGGCCCAACCCCGGGACUGCAUUGGAAACUGUUGAACUGGAGUACAGUAGAGGUAAGCGGAAUUCCUAGUGUAGCGGUGAAAUGCGUAGAUAUUAGGAGGAACACCAGUGGCGAAGGCAGCUUACUGGACUGUAACUGACGUUGAGGCUCGAAAGCGUGGGGAGCAAACAGGAUUAGAUACCCGGGUAGUC
rnacentral:rRNA from 1 species